GUCCAGAGAGGAAGGUUCAUACUGGCAAGAAGUAAAUUCAGUAGGCAGGAGAAAUCUUCAUGGCUAAAAUCUCAUGCAGGGUCAAACUGUCUGGGUUUGAAUUCUGGAUCUAUCACUUACUAGCUGAUGAUUGUACCUCUGAAGUCUCAAAGCAUCUUACAGAGCCAUUUGGGAGAUUUUUUGAGUCCAUUUAUGUAGGGCACAUAGCACAGUUCCUGGCAUAUUAGCGCCACCCUGUAAAUGUCAGCUACUAUCAGUAGAGGUGGUGGAGAACCCUAUAUGAAAUGGAUUUGAAUGCCAAAAUGAGAAGUCAGAACUUGACCUUGUAAGUAAAAUGAAAGCUAUCAUUGUUUUUUUAUUUGUUUUUUAGUGGAUUUGAGAUAUGAUAUAGAUGAUGUUUCAGUAAGAUUGAUCUGGUGGCAUUUAUGGUAGAGGAUGAGUUGGAGAAAGGAAGCAGGAGGACGGGAAGGCAGCUGGGAGGUUACUGGCAUAGUUGGGGCGUGAAGCACUAAAAGUCUGCACAGAGAAAUUUUAAAGAGAAAAAAUCAUUGGGAUACUGGAUCUUAAUCAUUUGGGGUCAUAGGCUUCCUAGUCUAUCUCACAAAAACUAUGGAUCCUCUUCUCACAAAUGUGCAUAUACUGUUGCACACGAGCACAAAAAUCUGCAUGCAAUUUCAGGGGUUCAAGAAGCCCUCCCUUAGAACCCAGAUGUAGGGAAUAAAAGAAAAGGCAGAGAAUGAAUGUACUAUCAUGAAGAAGUACAAUAAUAAUAUAAUAAAAUAAAAACAGCAGUAUGAUAAAGUGAAUCUAAUAGAUUACAUUGGAUAUAUAAUAUUGCUACUUUGUAUUUAUGUUUGGGAACUGUUUCGUAAUUUUAGUUUGCCCCACAGAGAUGGACAUAUUUUUAUAUCUCAACUGUAAUAAUUGUAUUUUCUUUCAUCUUUGAUUUUUUUUCCUAAAAAAUAUUACUUCAUUGAACUGAUCUGUCAAAUGCGACUUUCACACUCAACUGUUAUCACGUGAGCUAAUUACAAUGCUAAUUAGCCCAGUUUACGGGGACUGCUGUGCAUUUGUACACGAGGGUUCUUUGUUUGAUCUGCUACAUCAUAAGCUUACCAGCACGGAGGGAUAGCAUGUAUCGUUGAACGUGGAAGAACACACCUUCAUUUGUGUUAAUGAAGAAAACUACUGAAAACCAACAGACUAAUUAAGGGUAACGAUGAACAAUUUUGAUCAGCAAUUAUUUUUUAAUAUCGAAGUUCGCUCCUGGAAAGAGUAGAAUGGGGAAGUUCAUCUUCCAGCUUUCUACCCAGAAAAGUAGUGAGAGAGAGAUCCUGCUUCAUUUCCAAUUCUUCUCCCACAAACUGUUUUAACAUAUAAUUUAAUCGAUGCCUUUAUUUCAAAAGAAAAAAAUAAUUAUAGAGCUUGUUGGGAUCAUUUUCUGAAGAGAGGACAUUAUGCGUGCAUGAAUUCCAUCGGUGAUCUGAGGAGGAGCAGGCUGCUUGGACCAUUACCCAUCAUUGUCGAACAGCAGAGUAAUUAAUUGGGCAAAUACGUCUAGAUCUGGUGAAUUCACAUGCACAGUAACUGGGCAGCAGCAACACACACUCUUUUACUGUGAAUAAAAUAGCAAUAGUUUUAUGUGCCUUUGUGCUAUGUAAAAUGUCUUUUUUUUUCCUCUUGGCUUUAUCCAUUCCAGAUUAUUUUGUCCAUCUUUAUGUACUCAUUUGAAAAGAGGUUGCUUAUUACAAAGGAAAAAGAUAUCUAGAUGAGCAAGUUUGAAUUCCAUGUCUCUGUUUAUUUUUAAAGGAAUGAAUUGGGUUCAUUAUUCUUUCACUAAUUUUUAAAAUAAUUUAAUAUUUUCACUAAAAUGAGUUAAAUGAGCAUGAGGAAAUAGUAUUUUUUAAACUAGUUCCAGGAAUGGACAAGCUCCUAAAAAAAUUAUUAAGGCCUUCUAAUUACCGUACAAUAUUAAUUCAAAAAUUUAAUUUUUUAUUUAAGUGUCAUCUACAGAGGUAAAAAAUAAGGCACAGCAUUUGUCCUGGAGAAACUUCUUAUAAUAGUCCUCUGUAAAGUAUAGAUAAUCAAACAAUCUAACACUGUUUAUUUGAACAUCAAAAAGUGGACAAAUAUUUAGAGGAAAUAAUAUAAUUGUUUUAAUGCAAAUCAUCUCUGAUGGCUAAGUCCAAAUGUAAUAAGAAAGCUUAGGUUUUGAUUUAAAAGGAAGUCAAUUUUCCAGCAUCUCCCCUUCUGAAGAGGUUAAAUGAUGAUUCUUUUUUUUUUUUUUUCCGAUCACAUUUUAAUCCAGAUGACAGAGGACUUGCACUCCUAAUUCAGACUUUCUGGUAAAGCUCAGCUUGUCACAAUGUAUAGCUUUCUUUUCUUUGAUAAGGUCAGUUUGCCAAAAAGAACAAAGUGCAUAUGAGUAAUACAUUACUCAACCACUUGUAUACAUACAUCUAUUUUUCUUACCAGGUCUCACUAUUCAGAAAGGUACAGACAUGGCACCAUGAUAAAAAGGGUCAUUUAAAAGACUUCGCAGAGGCUCUGUACUGUGAAGGAUUGAAUUUUCACUUGAAUGCCUACAUUUUCACAUCUUUUUCUUUGCAGAAAUAUUCCUUUUGAAUGGCAGACUGCAAUUGGGUAGGUUUUUUUUUUUUUAAGUCACUGACCAGGAAUAUAUAAAAUAUUAGAAGGCAUUUGUCCCAGUGGAAGAACACAGUUCACUACCAGGUACCAGGUGGUUAUUAAGAAAGUUAUACAACUUUAUCUCUUCAGAUUGAAGAGCUCCUUCAGAUAAAAGCCUUAAGUUCAGUCAAGGUGGAAGGAACACUAAGGUCUGUCACUUCUAAAUGACAGACAAUUUAAAUAACUUGUGAAAUCAUUAGCCUCAAAGCCAUCUACCUAGUAAUUUUUCAUAAUCACAUCCAAUGUGUAUUCUUAGGAACACACAAGCAGACUCCAGUUUAUCUUUCUAUCUACUUCAAUAUUUGAUCACAACAUUUUGAGAAAUAUGCUCAUGACUAAUUUUAAAACCUCUAAUUUUUCUUUAAUGGUUUUAUAUUUCCCAAAUACACUUAAAGGGGUGGGGAGGAGAGAAAAGUCUAUUAAAUACACUGAAACUUUUUAAUAUUGGUUACUGGAUUCCCUAAGGAGUUAGUGUAAAUUCAGUUCAGUUGAAUGAAACAGAUAUUUCUUCAUCUCCUACUAUCAGUAUGGUAUUGUGCUGGGAUUACGGGGAGAAAUAGGAAUGAAUAAAGCACCUUCUCUACGCUUAAGGAUUCUAGAAUCUAUAAAAAAAGUAAGGUGCAUAACCAUAAUAAAAGCUAGAAUAUGAUGAAUAAGAACAGAAAGUCACAAAAUUCUGUCAGAAUAUAUCAAUGAGAUUUUGUCUGGCUGUAUCAAGGAUGACAUCAUAGAGGAGAGAGCACUUAAACACUGCCUUGAAAGAUGCAUUCAGUUGGCCUGCAGUGGAGAAGGACAGAAUAGUCUGAUAGAAUUGCUACAUUCUGGAAAGGAAAAUGCCAAGAGAAAAAGCAUCCAGGUGGGAAAAAUGCAGGAAUGUUGGUGUGACAUGGAGUCCAAUAUAAGCGAGACAGAGGGGGAAUAUAAGUUGCUUGAGGAGGAGUGAUGAAAAUCAAGUGUGAACAACUAUGUUGACACUUGAUGUUACUAAGGAGUUUGGUUGUGAUUCUACAGGCAAUUGAGAGCUUCAGAGCAACACAAUGUCUAACAGAACUGUGAUUUGUGUAGCUUGUAAAAUAUUGUUUCUUUCUUCUCAUGUAUAAUUUAUCUGUUUUUUCCUAUACUGUUAACGAUUUUUCUUGAACUUUAAUUCUAUUUUUUUCCCUUUCCUGUUGGAACUAAACCAGAGGACUAUAGAUGUCAUGGACAAUAUAUCCCCCACUCAAGUAUUCAUGUCCAAACUAAAUUGUUAAGAAACUUCACACUAACAAUAAUGAUUUUAUAACUCUAAGUCUAGUGGCAAUUGUGUAUUGUUAUUUUAAAAAAUACUUAGAAUUACUUAAUUACUUCUGAGUUAUGUGGAAUCAGAAAUACAUUUCUUUGAAAGUGAAACAGGAUAUCUUGUUCAUAUUGUAUAACAAAACUGGAUGAAAAGGUAUUUUUUGGGCUUUUAAGAAAUAAACUUGCAA
ensembl:lncRNA novel transcript